rnacentral:ncRNA from 1 species
AGGUUAUAUGGAAGAAAAAAAGGUUAGCACCCCCAUGAUAAAAAUGGAAAACAUCUUAGAGACCCAAGCAACAUGCUAAUGCAUUGCCACCUGUUUUU